rnacentral:tRNA from 1 species
GAGGGUACAGCUCAGUGGUGGAGCACAUGCUUAGCAUGCACAAGGUCCUGGGUUCAAUCCCCAGUGCUUCCA